UACGUAGGGCGCAAGCGUUGUCCGGAAUUAUUGGGCGUAAAGAGCUCGUAGGCGGUUUGUCGCGUCGGCUGUGAAAUCCCGAGGCUCAACCUCGGGUCUGCAGUCGAUACGGGCAAACUAGAGUAUUGCAGGGGAGACUGGAAUUCCUGGUGUAGCGGUGAAAUGCGCAGAUAUCAGGAGGAACACCGGUGGCGAAGGCGGGUCUCUGGGCAAUAACUGACGCUGAGGAGCGAAAGCGUGGGGAGCGAACAGG
rnacentral:rRNA from 1 species